rnacentral:ncRNA from 1 species
ACAAACAGAGGACGGAACGGGCAGCCGUCGCCCCUCGGAACAACUCUUACAGCUGGGAGCCGAGGUUCGGAGAUGCGGGAAAAGUCACCCCGCCUGUUUUGC